CUUCAGAGUUAUUUGGGACUUUAUUUUCUGAUCUUUUACAACAAACCACGUUUCCUAUAGUUUAUUACUUUAAUGACAAAAUUUAUCCUAAUUAAAGAAUGAAUCACGAUAUUUAUCAUGUUUUAUUGACGUGCUAAAGUGAUCCCAGUAGUUAAUUGGAUGACAAAGACUUAUCUGAUUGUGUGAAUGAGCUGACAAAGAAGACCUCUAAUUGUUAAAUCAGAUUUAUUCUCAUCCAUCCAAUUAGGUAAGAUUUCUUCAAUAUUUUUUAAUGUUUUCCCAUUUUAUUAGUACUAAUUAUUGUACUAUAUUAUAUUAUUACUUUACUUUACUAAUAUAUAGAAGUGGUGUAAAGUAGCAGGUGGCAGGUGGCAGGUGAAGUUUGUCCUGCCAGUUUUCCAGGGUUAUUUUGGUCAUUUUGAAUUUUGGUUGGUACACGUGUCUUCUCAGAAUGAGAAAUGCAACAGCUGAAGCUUUGGUUUUCUCUUACUAAAAAAACCAAAAUUCAUUCUCAGACCUCUGAUAAUCUUCCUGUUUUCCUCAGAUUCUUCAAUCCAAAGAGUGUCACAGGAAAUGAUGUUGAAUCUAAUGGGGAUCAACACGCUUUCAUCUUGGUUCUUGGCGGACAGUUCUUUGUCGCUAUGUUGAUGCUAGAUACAUGGCAAUAUUUUAUGCAUCGGUACAUGCACCAAAACAAGUUCUUGUACAAACAUAUCCACUCUCAACAUCAUCGGCUAAUUGUUCCUUAUGCAUUUGGAGCUUUGUACAACCACCCUUUGGAGGGUUUGAUUCUUGACACAGUUGGUGGGGCUCUAGCUUUCCUUGUCUCUGGCAUGUCACCAUGUACCUCCAUCUUCUUUUUCUCAUUUGCUAUGAUCAAGGCGGUUGAUGAUCAUUGCGGACUAUCGUUGCCUGGAAAUCUUCUUCCAUAUCUUCUUUAAAAACAACUCUGCUUACCAUGAUAUUCAUCACCAGCUUUACGGGACCAAGUUUAACUCUUCACAGCCUUUCUUUGUGACGUGGGAUAGGAUACUUGGUACUUACAUGCCACGAGAACUUGAGAAGAGACAAGAAGGAGGUUUUGAAGCUAAGCCUGUUAAAGAUUGCAAGGAACAUUGACAACAUUGGUAGUUCAUGUUUGUCAUUAUGUACCACUGCAGUUUUUCCCUUUUUCAAAUGCUUAGUUACUCAUUUAAUUUGUAUAUAGUUAAAGGCUUAUGCGUAUAUUGUUGUAUAACUGGUGUCGUUUCGAGGUUGAAAAAGGAAUAGGGUCUAAUAAUAGUUUCCUUUUUAAACAUCGUAUGAGAUCUAAUUUCUGGUAUAUUCAACUAAUAGGCAGAGAUAAAAAUUUGCUCAGAUACAUUGUGUACUAUGAAUUUUUUAGUUCCAAAGCAUAUGGACAUGUAUAAUGACUUUGUCAUUGUUCUUUUCGUGGGUUGUUGAUAAUGGUGUUGAGCUCACAUUGAUCAUUUUACUGUGUACCUGUUUCUUCCAAUCAACCUAGGUACCAAGCAACUUUGUUACCUGAUGCUUAGAUAGACAAGAAGAAAUCACUUGGUGUUUCAAUGUUAGUGAAGAUAGAAUGCAGUUAAUAAAAUUAACCUGGAAGAGUUUUACAGGUCAAUAUACUGAUUUUUGAAGUCGUGGUCCAGCACUGCAAGUGACAACAACAUUCAUGCCCAUACAGUUCCUGUUCUCUACGAAAAAGAUGAAGAUAAAGUGAGUCCAUUUGUUGAGAAAGCAAUGCAAGAGAUGAAGAAACAAUAUCAUUGAUACAAAAAAUUUGAGUAAAAUUUCCAUAGGGCCAUUAAAAGAUAAGAGAUGUAUUCACGUACCUGUUCAUUACUUGCUUCUGUUGAUCUAAUAUCAUGUGCUAUGGUAUUAUUUUCUUGAUCUAACAACAUUCACCUGAAUACUGACUUGAUGAUUUAGCUCUCAUGAAUUACUAUUGUUGGGCCCGGGCAACGCCCGGCCUACCCCCACUAGUACUAAUAUAUAAGUGCUGUGAAGCAAGGAGGUCUCGGUUGUCCUCCCUGCUUGCAUCAAGGGCAUUUUCGUCAUUUCCCAGUUGCCGCCCAAGGGCUAUUUCAUCAUUAUCGGUGAGUUUUAUAGGUGUAAUACCGGGACUUUGGAUUAAAAAUGACAAAUAAGUUGUCCAAUUAAGUAGGAUCCCUCCAAGUUUUUUAAAUUAGGUGGGAGGGACAAAUUUUUUUUGAGUUUUUUUUUUUAAAAGUUUUUCCGUUCGAACAACUUGUCCCAAUUGUGUAGAACAACUUUGAUAGUUGUUCGACAACUUUGGUAGUUGUUCGACAACUUUGCGAAGUUAUUCAACAACUAUUAAAAUUGUUCAACAACUGUGCAAGUUGUUGUCCUACAACUGCACCUAGUUGUUGAAUAACUAGGCGUAGUUGUUCAAGGGACUUAGUUUUUUCAGGGUCAAGUUUGUGGGACCCACUUGUCCCCAAACUUGCCCGGCCUUGUGGCUUAUUUUCCUCUGUAAUAGCCUCCUAUCUCGGUGUCAAUCUAAUUGCUGAAAAGGGGGCUUUUCAAUCUCAUCCUUUUCUUCAUCGUUAAGUUGUUUCUUCUCCUCAGGUGCUGUUGGGAAUUGAGAUAAGAACACAAAAAGGCACAUAGUUUUGCCAUCCUCUGCUUCUACAUCUCUCUUUGUCAGUGUAAAUCUAAAAAAUGUAAAUCAACUGAGGUAACAACAUCGUUAAUCUUUGAUUUUGUUACUUUGUUCUUCUUUUUCUUCACUCAGUUUAUCGGAAUUUGUACGGUUUGUUGUUGCUGCCGGCGUUGUAUCGAAAGUUGUACGGUUUGUUGUUGCUGCCGGCAUUGUAUCGGAAGUUGUACGGUUUGUUGUUGCUGCCGGCGUUGUUAAACUUCGACGAGAAAAAGAUUGUCGAAGAAGCUUGUACCAAUUUUUUACCAAACUUGCUGUGUGAAUAUCUUUACAAUAUAUCUGAAGACUUCACUGAAUUCUAUACCGUCAGGUAGCUGGCUCGGCCGAGGAAGCAAGCAAACUCUUACUGUGUCAGGCAACAACUACUGUCAUAGGAAGUGUUUCCAUCUGUUGGGUAAAUUAUCACUAUUACUACUAUUUUGGAGAUGUAAAGUGAUAAAACUCUUUUGAACUGAAACUGAGGUCUCUGUGGCUCCAAUCUCUUUGGUUUUUCAUCAGUGCAACAUGAAUGUAUUCCGCAAGCAAUUCUAGGCAUGGAUGUUAUUUGUCAAGCUAAUUCUGGAAUGGGCAAAACUGCUGUUUUUGUUCUUUCAACUCUGCAACAGAUUGAACCUGUUGCUGGUCAGGUUGCUGCCAUGGUUCUAUGUCACACAAGGGAAUUAGCUUAUUAGGCAUGUAUUGAGAUAUACAAAUUUCUUUUUUCAGAAUUUCUUUCUGCUUCCCCCAUGUAGAAAGGUUUAUUUAUUUAUUUUUUUGGUGGGGUUCUUGGGUUUCUGCAGAUCUGUCAUGAAUUUGAGAGGUCUCAUAAUCCUAAGGCCAACAAUUAUAUCGAGCACUUAUAAGGAAAGGAGCCAUUCCCUGGAUGGAUUGAAGGAUUGAAGUAAUAACUAUACUCUUCCUUACCAAAGAACCGUGGAUACCUUCAUUGUUCCCUAUGGUAAAGGAAAGCUGAAUGUUGCAAUGAGUGACAGAGAAUCAAUAAUAACUGCACACUUGUGUUUGCUGUGAUAUGUAUAAUUUUUUUCAUACACUAUUGGACUUUUAUUACCACUUAAAGUCUAAUUUUUAAUUAAUUACAAUUUAUAGCC